rnacentral:misc_RNA from 1 species
GUUGUUAUAUUAUGAUGAAUGUGAUGUGCAAGUUAGUGUUCUAGAAAGAUUCUCAGGGAUCCAAUGCUGAAAGUUAGUUGAAGGCAUAUGGGCAGCCCUAGUAUGUAACUUAUGUGAAACACUCACCUAAGGAUUUAAUGACGGUGAGUGAGUAAUUCUUUGGGACCCAAUGCUGAGGGACAUGAGAAGGCAUAUGGGCAGCCCUAGUA